CAGAAACAAGGAGGAAAAGCUGAGAAGCAGUCAAACUCGUCGUCUACCAAGAAGAAAGCCCAGGUGGGGAUGACCGUGCAGGCGGCUAAGGAAGCUGAGUUUCAGCAGAAAUCUACUCUGGACAAGUGUUGCAAGGUUGAGACACCGUCUCCUGUAUUGACUGAGAGCGAGGGUUCAGGCGGAUCUUCUCCUCUCUCAGAUCUCACGUUUCCGGAUUUUGAAGAGGCACCGUUGGAUGUUGAUUCUGGGAAUUUCAAUUUGGAGAAGUACCCAUCUUAUGAAAUUGAUUGGGCUUCUC
rnacentral:misc_RNA from 1 species